GCCAUCCUUGGGAUACCACCCUUGUAGUACUGGGACUCUAACCAUAGGCCAUGAAUCUGGUCUUGGGACACUGUCAGGUGGGCAGUUUGACUGGGGCGGUCGCCUCCCAAAAGGUAACGGAGGCGCUCAAAGGUUCUCUCAGUACGGUCGGAAAGCGUACGUAGAGUGUAAAGGCAAAAGAGAGCUUGAUUGCAAGACAUACAGGUCGAGCAAGGAUGAAAAUCGGACUUAGUGAUCCGGUGGUUCUGCGUGGAAGGGCCAUCGCGCAACGGAUAAAAGCUACCCUGGGGAUAACAGGCUUAUCUCCCCC
rnacentral:rRNA from 1 species